rnacentral:lncRNA from 1 species
AGUUAUCUUCGUAUGAUCACGGUGUUGCAACCAAUGUGGAAAAGAGAACUUUAGGGUUUUCUUCUGGUGGGGGAGAGAGGAGCAGUAGCAGUAACCUAUCUCCAUCUCAGGAUUCAGAUUCACGUGCUCAAGACACUAGGUCUAGCCUGUCUCUACAAUUAUUUACCUCAUCUCCCGAGGAUGAGAGUCGACCAACGGUGGCAUCUUCUCGAAAGUAUUAUUCUUCUGCAAGCAGUAAUCCUGUUGAGGAUAGAUCUCCGUCGUCCUCCCCGGUCAUGCAGGAAUUAUUCCCAUUGCAGACGUCCCCUGAAACCAUGAGGUCUAAGAAUCACAAUAACUCAAGUCCCAGGACUGGUUGCCUACCGCUUGAGCUCUUUGGUGCAUCAAAUAGGGGAACUGCAAACACUAAUUUUAAAGGUUUCGGGCAACAGUCUGGGUAUGCUUCUUCUGGUUCUGACUACUCUCCUCCCAGCUUAAACUCUGAUGCUCAGGUUUGCAGCUUUUCAACUUCUCUUUAGCAUCUAUUUGUACGUAGAUAAAACAAACCACUUAUGGUUUUUAUAUAUAUGACAUAUAAACAGGACCGCACUGGAAAGAUAGUCUUCAAACUACUUGAUAAAGAUCCAAGUCAGCUCCCUGGGACAUUACGAUCGGAGGUGAUAAUUUCUGAGCAUGAUAUAGCCUUAUCUUAAAUAUUUAAGUUAUUGAUUGCUUCUGUUACAGUCCUCAUACUUAUUGUCCCCCUGUAACAGAUCUAUAACUGGCUUUCGAACAUUCCAUCAGAAAUGGAGAGUUAUAUUAGGCCUGGCUGUGUUGUUCUAUCUGUCUAUAUAGCGAUGACACCUGCAGCCUGGGAGCAGGUGAGUGGAUAUUAUGUUUUAAGUUUUUGGUUAUUGAAUCACUCAAUGCUAUGUAUAGCUUAGAAGCAGUUGGUGGUUUUUUUUUUCAGCUCGAGCGAAACUUACUGCAAAGGCUUGGUGUUUUGCUACAAAAUUCUCAGUCUGAUUUUUGGAGAGAAGCUAGAUUUAUAGUUAACACGGGGAGACAGCUCGCAUCACACAAAAAUGGUGAGUGCUCACGAGCUCUUACUUCUGUGUAGCCUUGAAUGUUGCAAUUUUUAUCUCUUCAUGAUCAUAACAUAUCACUGGUUACAGGUAGAGUUCGAUGUAGCAAAUCGUGGAGAACUUGGAAUUCACCAGAGCUCAUCUCAAUUUCACCUAUAGCCGUAGUAGCUGGUGCAGAAACAAGUUUGGUAUUAAGAGGUAGAAGCUUGACUAACGAUGGGAUCAGGUAAACUUAAAAAAAAAAUCAGUUUCAUAGUGUUUCUAAUCUUUUCUUAUUUCUUUCUAACCUAUAUUAUCAUUGUGCUGCCAGUAUUCGUUGCACACAUAUGGGCACCUACAUGUCGAUGGAAGUAAUUGGAGCAGGAUGUAGACAAGCAGUAUUUGAUGAGUUGAAUGUAAAUAAUUUCAAAGUGCAAAAUGCACAGCCGGGUUUUCUUGGACGCUGUUUCAUUGAGGUAUAACUUCAUAUAACUGAACUUCCUAACUGAACUUAGUAAUUUACUUUGUCAGUCUAGAGAUGUUGAAAGUCUAGUUUGUGUCCAGGUGGAGAAUGGAUUCAGGGGUGACAGUUUUCCAUUGAUAAUUGCCAAUGCAUCCAUCUGCAAAGAGUUAAAUCGCCUUGAAGAAGAGUUUCACCCCAAAAGUCCGUCAGAAGAACAAGCUCAGAGCUCAGAUCGACGUCCCACAUCAAGAGAAGAAGUUUUGUGCUUCUUGAAUGAGCUUGGUUGGCUUUUCCAGAAGAACCAGACCUCUGAACUUCGGGAACAAUCCGACUUUUCCCUUGCCCGCUUCAAGUUUUUGCUCGUUUGCUCAGUUGAAAGAGAUUACUGUGCUCUCAUCAGAACACUCCUUGACAUGUUAGUAGAGAGAAAUUUGGUGAAUAAUGAGCUGAACACAGAAGCCUUGAAUAUGCUCGCUGAGAGUCAGUUGUUGAAUCGUGCUGUUAAGAGGAAAAGCACAAAAAUGGUCGAACUACUUAUUCAUUACCCAGUUAAUCCCUCGGCACUCAAGUCCUCUAACAACUUUGUUUUCUUACCCAACAUAACUGGACCUGGCGGUAUCACACCUUUACAUCUAGCUGCGUGUACAUCUGGGUCAGAUGAUAUGGUUGAUCUGCUGACAAAUGACUCACAAGAGGUAUGGCUCUCUCCCUCUUGCUGCCUCUCUCAAACGUAAUUUUAUUUCUUGCAACCCAUAAGACUGAGGAAACCGUAUUGCUGUUUCAGGUCGGAUUAUCAAGCUGGAACACUCUUUGUGAUGCAGCCGGCCAAACUCCAUACAGCUACGCUGCAAUGAGGAACAACCAUAGCUAUAACUCUCUGGUGGCUCGUAAACUUGCAGACAAAAGAAACAAGCAAGUCUCACUAAACAUUGAGAACGAGAUUGUUGACCAAAGGGGUAUGAGCAAGAGAUUAAGUUCAGAGAUGAACAAAUCAUCUUGUGCGUCGUGUGCAACCGUGGCUCUCAAGUAUCAGAGGAGAGUUUCAGGUUCACACCGUUUGUUCCCAACGCCUAUCAUUCACUCAAUGCUCGCAGUUGCAACAGUCUGCGUUUGCGUCUGCGUUUUCAUGCAUGCUUUCCCAAUCGUGAGACAAGGAUCUCACUUCAGUUGGGGAGGUUUGGAUUAUGGCUCAAUCUAGACAACAACAUAUAUAUAAAUUAUAAUUUUAUUCUUUUGGUUUCACAAAAUAAGAGAAAAAGGGAAGAGACUUCGCACGAAUAUAUAAGGAAAAGCUCAGAGACUUGACUGUGACAACGACCAAAGUGUGACUACAGUAGUAUUACUCAAGGGAGUUUCACCGUCGGGAGUUCUUUUUUUUUUUUUUCAAUUAUAUAUAUUUUGGUUUGGCUAAUUUGUUGUGUGUAUUUCUGUGUAUUUUGUUUCUAUAUUUUGAUUAUGAUUAUUCUUUAACUAAGAUAAUAACCUGCUGCUUCAUAUAAGAGGCAGUUGUUUUACUGUUUUUUUGUAUUUUGGUUCUUGUAAAUUUGUACUUUGUACAACUAGCUCCUUGUUCAUGUUGUAACUUGAAUAACAUUGUUUUUUUCUUUCUUUUUUGUCGAAAGUCUAAAUGCAUUACCAUUUGAAACUUACAUUACUAUUACAUGAUAUAGAACGAUGUUUGUGUAAACAAUAUGAAGAUGGAGUAAUCUUGUCACAUAUGCCUCUUAUGUCAACGAUUCCCUUGUCGGGAUUCUCAAACAUCAAACCUCACAAGUUAGUGUAUUGUUUUGCAUGAUCUUGUAGCUCAUUUGAUUUAAUGGCUUAGCUCCACCUCGUGAGUUCAAGUCAUGGCAGAGUAGGAGAGGAGGCAAAGAAGAUACACACUUUAUCCAAAAAGAAACUGAAAACUCAUGAGAUAUCUUUUAGUUCAAAGGAAUUUAUAUUUGUCACAAGUAGACAAUGAAUUUUUUUUUGAGAUUAGUGUGAUUUGAUUACUUCAUACUAAACGACGUACUUAAUGACAUUGAAAGGAAACGAUGUCGAAAAAGAAAUUAUGGAUCUCGAUUAAUUUGAAGAAGUAAAAAACAGAAAUGUUUUUGGACUAUCAAAUCAAAAAAUUUAACUUUAAUCAAUGGAUAAAAAGCAAAUGGGAAAUGUCUUGGAUCGAAUAUUACCAUGUAAAUGCCCUCGUUUCUGUUUGAAUUUACAGAAUGUGCCACCACCGUAGAAAACAAAUAAGAAAGAAAAAAAAAAGUUAUCGUAGAAGGUAAGGACUUGAAGACAGCAGAACACGGAUUAAACAAAAAAAAAAGCUUGAUCAGCGGAAAAAAGAAGAAGGACAAGUUUGAGACUUUGGGGAUUUUAAGAAGGUGGGUCGAAGCUGGUGAAGAGGAAUAAUCAAAUCAUUUCUCUUGUUUUGCUGGAUUGGAUCGGGAAAUCUACAAGUGUUUGAAGAUUCGUUUUUUGAAAAUUUGUUCGAAUCUGAACAAGUUCUUAACAUUCGAAUUCGGGUGAUGUUUAGCUUGAUUCGUCUCCAGCUUUCGUUGAAUCGAGGAAGAGUUUAUGCUUGAAGCUGCCAAGAUUCUGAUUUUGGGUUUAUUGAUUAGAGAAGUUUUCUAGCUAGGCGGUAGAUAUGUUGAGUAUGUACGGUGGCUCGGUAGAUAUGUUCUUCUGCAAAUACUGAAUCUUCUUCUUCUUCAUCAUCAAGCUGAUUGAUCAAAGUCUAUUUUUGGAAUUUGAAAAGAAGAGACUUUAAAAAAAGGGUCAGAUCGAUUUCGGAGGAGAGAGAGAGAGAUAUGGAUGAGGUAGGUGCUCAAGUAGCUACUCCGAUGUUCAUUCAUCCGUCGCUAUCUCCGAUGGGGAGAAAACGUGAUCUUUACUAUCCGAUGUCGACUCGGCUGGUACCGUCGUCUCAGCCGCAGCCGCAGCGAAGAGAUGAGUGGAACUCUAAGAUGUGGGAUUGGGAUAGCCGGAGAUUUGAAGCUACACCGGUGGAAGCUCAGGUUCUUCUUCUGGGCAACGAGACACAACAGUUUGAUUUGACUUCAAGGAAUAAGAGUGGAGAAGAAAGAGGACUUGAUUUGAAUCUGGGAAGUGGUUUGACUGCGGAGGAAGACACCACAACGACGACGACGCAGAACAUUAGACCGAACAAGAAGGUUCGUUCUGGAUCUCCGGGAGGGAAUUAUCCGAUGUGUCAGGUGGAUAAUUGUACUGAAGAUUUAUCUCAUGCUAAGGAUUAUCACAGAAGGCAUAAAGUGUGUGAAGUUCAUAGCAAAGCUACCAAAGCUCUCGUUGGGAAACAGAUGCAGAGGUUUUGCCAACAGUGCAGCAGGUAAGGAAGAAGAGUGAUUUGUUCUUAUUGUAUCCAAUUUGAUUUUUUUCUGGUGAUGGUUCUCUGUUUUUUUUUUUUUUUUUCUUAAUCUGGUUAUGAAUGAUUUUCGCAGGUUUCAUCUGCUCUCGGAGUUUGAUGAAGGAAAGAGAAGUUGUAGGCGUAGAUUGGCUGGCCACAACCGAAGGAGGAGGAAGACAACACAGCAGGAGGAGGUUGUCGUUCCGGGGAACCGUGAUAAUUCGUCUAACGCCAAUAUGGAUCUUAUGGCUUUGUUAACCGCCUUAGCUUGUGCACAAGGUAUUAGCUUGCGAAUAUACAAGAGUUUUUUUUUUGUCUUGGAAUUCUGCUCGGAUGUUCUUGUUUUAUUAACAGCUUUGUUGUCUGCGAGCUGCAGGUAAGAAUGAGGUAAAGCCAGUGACUACUUCUCCAGCUGUGCCUGAUAGAGAGCAGCUUCUUCAGAUACUUACCAAGAUAAAUGCAUUGCCGUUGCCUAUGGACCUUGUCUCUAAGUUGAACAAUAUUGGAAAUUUAGCCAGGAAAAAUCUGGAUCAACCAAUGGCGCACCCCCCAAAUGAUAUGAAUGGCGCUUCUCCUUCUACAAUGGACUUGCUUGCUGUUCUUUCGUCAACGUUAGGCUCCUCUUCACCUGAUACGCUAGCCAUAUUGUCUCAAGGUGGGUUUGGUUACAAAGACAGUGACAAGACUAAGUUAUCUUCUUAUGAUCACGGUGUUGCAACCAAUGUGGAAAAGAGAACUUUAGGGUUUUCUUCUGGUGGGGGAGAGAGGAGCAGUAGCAGUAACCUAUCUCCAUCUCAGGAUUCAGAUUCACGUGCUCAAGACACUAGGUCUAGCCUGUCUCUACAAUUAUUUACCUCAUCUCCCGAGGAUGAGAGUCGACCAACAGUGGCAUCUUCUCGAAAGUAUUAUUCUUCUGCAAGCAGUAAUCCUGUUGAGGAUAGAUCUCCGUCGUC